rnacentral:rRNA from 1 species
UACGGAGGGUGCGAGCGUUGUCCGGAAUCACUGGGCGUAAAGGGCGCGUAGGCGGCCCUGGCAGUCGGUGGUGAAAGCCCGGGGCUCAACCUCGGAUCGGCCGUGGCGACUCGUGGGCUGGAGCACUGUAGAGGCGGGUGGAAUUCCGGGUGUAGCGGUGGAAUGCGUAGAGAUCCGGAAGAACACCGGUGGCGAAGGCGGCCCGCUGGGCAGUGGCUGACGCUGAGGCGCGACAGCGUGGGGAGCAAACAGG